rnacentral:tRNA from 1 species
GCCCGGGUGGCGGAAUUGGUAUACGCGCACGACUCAAAAUCGUGUGCCGCAAGGCUUGGGAGUUCGAGUCUCCCCCCGGGCA